rnacentral:siRNA from 1 species
UAAGACUACCAUUGCUCGUGC